AAGAAAAAAGGAAGAUGGCUGCCUUUGGGCUGAGGCGUGCCGAAGGUUGAUAAGAAGCCUGCAGAGGAAACCUGGUAACUGAACAAGAGAAUUCGUUCUCUAGAACAGAGCAAGGCAGCCAGGUUCUGAUGACAGUGAGAAGGAAACAUGCCACAAGAGGCCUGCAGUGGCUCUGCUGAGACCCUGGGACUGGGCCCAGGCAGCACCAUCUCCCUGAGGUCCAGUUAAAGGUGGCUUCUCAAUGCACUACAGGAUGGACAGACUGCCAUCGGCACAGUGCACUACGGGAUGGACAGACUGUCAUCAGCACAGUGCACUACAGGAUAGACAGACUGUCAUCAGCACAGUGCACUAUGGGAUAGACAGACUGUCAUCAGCACAGUGCACUAUGGGAUGGAUACUAUCAUCAGGAUGGCAGCCAUCUCUCACAACACUCAAGGAUACACAGCUGAUUUUAAAGGAGGCAUACAAG
rnacentral:lncRNA from 1 species